rnacentral:rRNA from 1 species
UGGCAAGCGUUGUCCGGAUUUACUUGGCGUAAAGGGCUUGUAGGCGGUUCGUUAAGUCUGUUGUGAAAUCUCCCGGCUCAACCGGGAGGGGUCAUCGGAUACUGGCGGACUAGAGACAGGUAGAGGAAAGCAGAAUUCCCGGUGUAGCGGUGAAAUGCGUAGAUAUCGGAAGGAAUACCAGUGGCGAAGGCGGCUUUCUGGGCCUGUUCUGACGCUGAGGAGCGAAAGCGUGGGGAGCAAACCGG